AACGAACGCUGGCGGCAUGCCUAACACAUGCAAGUCGAACGAACCCUUCGGGGUGAGUGGCGCACGGGUGCGUAACGCGUGGGAACCUGCCCUUAGGUUCGGAAUAACGUUUCGAAAGGAACGCUAAUACCGGAUAAUGUCUUCGGACCAAAGAUUUAUCGCCUUUGGAUGGGCCCGCGUUUGGAUUAGCUAGUUGGUGGGGUAAAGGCUCACCAAGGCGACGAUCCAUAGCUGGUCUUAGAGGAUGAUCAGCCACACUGGGACUGAGACACGGCCCAGACUCCUACGGGAGGCAGCAGUGGGGAAUAUUGGACAAUGGGCGAAAGCCUGAUCCAGCAAUGCCGCGUGAGUGAUGAAGGCCUUAGGGUUGUAAAGCUCUUUUACCUAGGGAUGAUAAUGACAGUACCUGGAGAAUAAGCUCCGGCUAACUCCGUG
rnacentral:rRNA from 1 species